UACGGGGGGAGCAAGCGUUGUUCGGAUUUACUGGGCGUAAAGGGCGCGUAGGCGGCGUGACAAGUCACUUGUGAAAUCUCCGGGCUUAACUCGGAACGGUCAAGUGAUACUGUCGUGCUAGAGUACAGAAGGGGCAACUGGAAUUCUCGGUGUAGCGGUGAAAUGCGUAGAUAUCGAGAGGAACACCUGCGGCGAAGGCGGCAUCCUGGACCGGCAUUGACGCUGAGGCGCGGAAAGCCAGGGAGGCAAACGGG
rnacentral:rRNA from 1 species